CGGUACCUGAAGAACAAGCCACGGCUAACUACGUGCCAGCAGCCGCGGUAAUACGUAGGUGGCGAGCGUUAUCCGGAUUUACUGGGUGUAAAGGGCGUGUAGGCGGGUUUGCAAGUUGGAUGUGAAAUCCUCAGGCUUAACCUGAGAGGGUCAUCCAAAACUGCAGAUCUUGAGUACUGGAGAGGAUAGUGGAAUUCCUAGUGUAGCGGUAAAAUGCGUAGAUAUUAGGAGGAACACCAGUGGCGAAGGCGACUAUCUGGACAGUAACUGACGCUGAGGCGCGAAAGCGUGGGGAGCAAACAGGAUUAGAUACCCUGNUAGUCCACGCCGUAAACGAUGAAUACUAGGUGUANGGGGUAUCGA
rnacentral:rRNA from 1 species